GCGGGUAUCGUAUAAUGGCUAUUACCCCAGCCUUCCAAGCUGAUGAUGCGGGUUCGAUUCCCGCUACCCGCUCCA
rnacentral:tRNA from 1 species